GCCCAGAUGGUGAAAUUGGUAGACACGCUAGUUUCAGGGACUAGUGACCGUAAGGUUGUGCAAGUUCGAGUCUUGUUCUGGGCA
rnacentral:tRNA from 2 species